UUAAUUUCAACUACUACCUCUAUUAGGAUUUGGGAGUUAUACUCAUAGAGGUAGUAGUUGAAAUUAAGAG
ensembl:miRNA